CCCCUAGGGAAAACCACCAAGCGUCCCUCUACCCAAAUAAACACCCAACUCUUGGGAAAUAAUGAGGAGGGUGGAGGAGGGGCGGGGCUGACCCCAACCCCAAUUUCUUAAUUCAUGACGUAUUGUUUGUACUUUGCUUGCGGUUUGACGAAAUAUAAGCCGUUUGCGUGCGGCCCUCGGUGUGUCAGUCUUCGGACUGCACCCCAGUGCACUGGUAUGUAUGUCAAUAAACUGGCCUCAGGCUUGAGUCUUUGAACUAAAAUCACUGCAUGGGUGUCUUUGACCACAACAAUUCGGGGGCUUGUCUGGGAUCACUCGACGUCCCACCGGACCGGAGGACCGUGGACCGCUUCCACACUGAUCCCAGGCUCCAGGUAAGAGACCCUUGUCUCUAUUUGGGCUUCGGUGGGGAGCUGCCCUUAGGCUCUGGGUUCAGGUAAGGACACGCUGUGAUCCGAACUUUUGAGGCUAGACUCAUUUGCCUGACGCCUGUUCGUUUUGUGUGUGUCCGUUCUGUAACUUGUCUGUUUAAAUUCUUGCAUCAUGCUAUGCUAUCUCUAUCAUUGUUUACUUAGGCUAUAAGCUAGAGGGUAUUGGGGACUGUCUGUUUGUGGUGUGUACACGAGGGUCUUAGACCCAACGGUUUCCUUGGAACAGCCUCGGUGAAAUUACUGGGACAUCCGUCUGGCAGUUAAACACUUUUAGAGUGCCAGCCCAGUAUAAAAACAAGUUUCGGAUGACAGGAGAUUAUUCAGGCAGGAACAGAGGCUAAAUAGACUGUGUGGUCUCUCCGGAACAUAAAGGAAACGGUUACUAACCACCUGAACAGGGAGUACGCCAAGCUCCUAUCCUUUGCUUUUUAAGCUUUCUACUUUGUCUUAGUCAGCUUUGUGGCUCACGCCUUUGGGGGGUGGUUCCCCCGGAGGGUGAACGACAGGCUGCUGAGGAACCCCGGAAAGGUGGACCCAUAGUGAGUAGGGGAUGGAAUCCACCCCCUGGAACCUACUGCAGGCGGGGUAAGGGACCGAGGAUAGCGGAGACCCCCACCUUGUUGGAGCUUAAGCAGUAGGGUGAGGCCAGGUCACUCUGGAACCGACUGCGAGUGGGGUAAGGGACUGGGAAUACCGGAGACCCCGAUUGCGUAAGUGGACAGGGAAUCUCGGAGCAGCCGAAGGGGCAGGCAGGGCUCCCACCAGCAAUAGGCUGUGUGGCUGGGUUGGCCCUGUGACCCGGGGAUUGGCAGAACUCCCACCAGUAUUAGGCUGGUGGCCGAGUAGGACUGUCAUAGUAAAGAUUACCCUGGUUUAGGUGUGGUGUGAUUGUGGGUCGUAAGGUGGUCCCAGGACCUGCUAUGGGCGGGGUAAAGGACCGAGAAUAGCAGAGACCCCCACUUUGUGUGAGUAGUAGGUCCCCAUCCUUUUUUGCCCAUUAAGUGACGAUUGCAUCCCUCCUUGCUCGGAGAGCAGGGAGGCCCUGGGAAACCACCCGCGUACUCCUAGGUAGUAGAGUAACCCAUCCCGUUCUCUUGAAGGCGGGCCGGUGCUCUCUGCUGGGGGAGGGGUGUGCGGGGACCAGGACUUUCCUAACCUUUCUGUGUGGUUGACCUACGACCAAAACCUUACCCCAAAUUUUCCCUUGGAGCAUGGACUCGCGUAUGGAGUGAGCUCCAGCCCCUGGAAAUCAUUUGCCAAAACCUGGGGCAACUGAGCAUCCUACCCCGUUCCUCUCAGAGGCGGAUUGGUAACUCGUUGCUGGACAGGGUGCAUGCGAGGACCUCCCUUUGUAAAUCCUCCCCAGUGGCGUGCAUGUUGGGGGAUUGGCAUCACCGGAGUUAUAGAGGCUAGGAAAAUUGCUCUCGCCUGGAAAGGAGACCAAGGCUUACUGCAGUGUUCUAGUGUUGUUGUGUUGUUUAACCACUCUGUGUAUAAUAGUAAUUGCUUUGUUAAAUAAUUAAUCCUCUCCUACAAGGGGGUUAGCAAAAAGCCCACCCUCCUUGCUGAAUUGAUAGUAAAACAAUGCCUGUGCCCAUGAAAAGAAGGAUUGGGCCCAAACGGGCAGGCAACUGCAGUUUAAGGAAGUUAAAAGAAAGAAAGUAAAAAGUUAACUCUGUAAUUACUGGUGGGAAUUAAGCAGUGAAACUAUAAAUAAAUGUUAAAAGAAAAAUUCUUGGUUUCUUUGCAGCCAUUCCUGUGGGAGUGUCUGUAAAUAAUCCAGGCAAAAGGUUAUAUAGGUAAAAUCAAUUGACUAUGAAAAAGUUAGUUAAAUUUGUUAAGAAACACUCCUGAUGUGUAUAAUUUUUGUUUUAUAAGUUUAAAAUAAAUUAAUGUUGUUUUGGGGUUAUAGAAAAAAAAAAUACUUUUGCCAAAUAAAGUAAACUAGUGUUGUUUAAUUUUGGUAUUUAGCAUUUAAUCCUUAAAGUAACUUAAUGCUUUACAAAAUGUAAAUUGUUUUAAAUAAAGACCAAAGUUGUGGCUGCAGCAGGGUAGCCAAAGCCAGGAAAAUGGAAAAUUUUAAAUCUGUUUUGGUAACAUAUACCAAAUAAAAGCAAAUAUCAACUAAAAACCACAAAUUGUUCUUGAAGUGUUGCUGGGUACACCUUAUACCCUGAUCACCUUUGGCGCCUCAGGAGCUCUGGCCCUAUUUGCUCGCGUGCAUCACCGGAUGACUGUGCACCGUUGAUUGCUGCAGUUAAGUAAAACUUUUCCUUUGUGGCCCAGCACUACUGCCAGCAACAUAAUGAUUAGGCAGGCAGCACUUUUCCCUCUUUGGAAACUUUCUCUAAAUAUUUGGAUUAAUUUUAUUCAAAUGUUUAAAUGUUAGAAUUGUAAGUAUGUGUUAGUUUUAGUAAUGUAUUUUCUUGUAAAAAGGACAAAUGCAGGAUCUUGGGCAGAGGUUUUACAACAGUUUUUGCAUUGGUAGAAUAUGUCAUACGGGGGUUGUUGUGAAGCUUUUGCUUAAGGAUUUUGUAUCACAUUCUGGCAUAUCUGAACUGAUUAUAAAAGAGCUAUGUGCAGCUUCACAAAUCCAGUAUGGCCAAAUGCCCUUUAAAGGCCACUCCCAAUCAAAAGACCAGAUUCAGCCCUCAUAAAAUUUUUACCAGGGCACCCAAUGCAACUACCGACAGUGCUCUGCUGGCCCUAGCUCAAAUAAACAGUCGUUUAAUAAAUUACACAAUAGUCAGGCACUAACAAAAUGUGUUAGGUCUUUUUAUAUACAGCAGUCCUGCCACACGCUGAAACCAGAAAACUGGGUCUACAUAAAGGUCCAUCAGCAAAGAACUGCCCUGGCCCCAUGCUAAGGGACUCUUGUCCGCUGACAAAUCCACUAAGCCUUUGGACCUUGCUAAGAAAACAACUUCUCCACCUGAGGCCAUAAUAAAGCCUCCAACCAAGCAAGGUGAUUGUGCUAGUAACCCCUCUGUAAUAGGUCCUUGCCGGGGCUCGACCUUCUGGGCAGGAGGGGAGCCACACUGACUCACUACUGUGGGAACAAGCAGUCCAUUAGUCCAGAGGCUCCGGCCCUCUGGUGCAGGGGCGGAGCAAAGCCGACAGCUAGCUCAGGGCUCAGGCCCUCAGACAGGGGCUGAGCAGGCAACCGUUAGUUCAGGGCUCAGGCCCUCGGGUGCAGGGACUGAGCAGACCACAGUUCGUUCCAGGCUCAGGCCCUUGGUUGCAGGGGCUGAGCAAGCAAACAGUCAAAGAGCCCAGGCCCUGGAUCAGGGCGGGGCACGCACAGUUAUAGCUCAGGCCCUUGGUUGCAGGGGCUGAGCAAGCAAACAGUUAAGGAGCCCAGGCCCUGGAUCAGGGCGGGGCACACACAGUUAUAGCUCAGGCCCUUGGUUGCAGGGGCUGAGCAGGCAAACAGCUGGGGUACGCCCAGGCUCCUACAGCCGAGCGUUGGGUGAGGGGGAAGCCUGCCACCCGUGAGCGGGGGUGGCAGGGGGGAACGCAGGCCCACCCACUCCACUGCGUUCCAGCCCGGGGCCCUAGCAGCGGUUACUACCGCUGCUGGUCAGUGGGGUAUCCUGCCCGAAACACACUGACAUUGGCUCACAUUCGUCUGCAGCCUGACCGGGGUCAGCUACCCCCGGGCUACUUCCAGGUUCCCCCUCAGGGCCUACCUCGUUCGUGGCACCGGGCUCGGGCCAGUCCAGCUGCAUAGGCUCCUCUCGGCCAGGGCUUGGUGGCAGGUCCGGCAGCUCCGUCGGGAAAUCAGGCCAACUGCACUCGGGCGGCUCCUCCGGCCUCAUUGCCAGACAGCUAAGUGAACUAAGACUACGAAAUCUUGAAGAAUAACUUGCGGAAGCUAGCCAAAACUACCUGAAGAUAUAACUUAAUAUUCCUCAGCCUCUCCUCCUUAACGAACUUGGGGUGUGUUGCGGUAUGAUGCAGGCUAAAUUGGAUCAGUAGUCUCCGGUUUGGCCUGUGUCGUAUUGCGGUGUACCCCGGCUCUACAUGGUUGCCCACCGUUGUGGUCCCCACUCCCCAGCUACUCCCCCUCGUGUCUUCUCCAAUUCCCAUACAAAUCUGUCUGGCCAUAGCCUCAGAGAAAAAAAAUUCAAGUCUCGGAACAACAAAUGUGGUAUAGCACACCCUACCAACAGGAUUGUUCUUUCCAAUGGUGGAUUGUGCUAAAUGCUACUAUAAGAACAAUCACCUUCUCACUCCCCCUCUCAGCUUUUCAAAUAACUACCCAGUACCCAAAUUGUUCUCAGGGAGCGGCCAUUUGACUGGCCCAGCUUGUGCAGUGGGAAAGUCUUUAUCAGGGAAAGGGAGGAUUGGUGGAAGGGGCUUACAUGGCCUAACUGGAGCAGCCGCUAUUUGAACAAUAGACAAAGCCCAGGAUCAUGAAAAACGUCUGGAAAAUUUGGAAAGAGCAUCAGGCCUCCUUACUGAGGUAGGGCUAACCAACACCUAUACCAAUAUAAAGGUGCCGCCAUGCCUUGUCAGGACUGGGAACCACAACCCAAACCCUCCUACAAAAAUUAAUAAACACCCUUGCCCUAGUAGGAAAGGACACUGGCUGGGAUUCAGCUUGUAGCCAAAUGCAGGGUUUCUUUAACAGUCUCUUAGCAGAAAUGUGAGGCGAUGUCCUAGGUCAGUGAUGGCCCAAAAUCCUUACCACUACUGUGGGAGUGCCACCCGAGCUGUGGAAGUGGAGACAUACGUGGACAUUGUCACAAUGGAGCUGUGACUCCGUCGCAUGUACCUUCCAAGCUUUGGGACCUAUUAAUGGCACCUGGGCUCCAGUGCAAUUGCUUGUGCCUGGGCCAUGGGCAAACUGUCUAUGGGACUGGGUAAUCAAUCGGCAGGUAUGGGAAGUCAAACCACCCCACGGACCUAGCCGUUUCAUCACCACUCCCCAUGAUUUCGCUGCGCAACAUGUCUGGGUGGGAAUCGGAACCUUGUGGUCUUUGUGGCCCUUGGAACCCCCACAGUUGUCCUGCCUCCGCAAGCUGCAUCCUGGGGAAGUACUCAAUGUCUUAGAUAUGGCCUGUUGGGAAGGGGAAGCAAUAGGGAAAGACCCAGAAGGAAAAUUGUUAUUUAAUAAAAAAGAUGGGUGCGCCCUGCCAUCCAGUCCCCAACUCCCUCUUCCUUUCCACCUUAACUUAACCACUGCACAAUGUAGCCAUUUCAUCACGUGGCCUGGUAUGCCCCAAAUCUAUGUGUCCCUUCACCCAGCCAUCCCCCUUACUUUUGAUUGGACUUCCCUCAUCUCUAACCGUUUCUUAAACUUAACCUCUCUAUUCUCUCUCCUCUCUAACAUGUCUUACCUUCAAACCCAAAUCCAUGUAAUAGAAAUUGAAUAUAAUAAGACAGCCAAAGCAUUUCAGGCCGUUUACCGAUUAGGUGCCCUAUGUUCUUCCCACGACAUUGCGUGUUUUAUCUCUAAAGGAAUCACCCAACUUGCACCCAGCCUCCUCACUUCUUUAGUCUUAAAAAUUCUGCUUGGUAUUACCCUUGCAAUCUGUUGCGGGUUGUUGAUUGCCGUCCUCUGUUGAUUAUGUAGAAUAUGCCGUUUGCCCCAGUUACAGCCUCAACCACCACCCAAAGCCCUAUUCUCUUCCACAGAUAUCACCGAUCCUACACUCUAUUGUUCCACAGACCCGGAGAUUAACCACCUUUGUAUUAAUUCUGAAUCCGAAUAAUGUCCUAUGGCCUCUUUGCUAAACAAGAAUAGUGAUGCUUGUAUGGCAUCAGAGGAGGGAAAUUGUGGGGAAAUAGAACAGGGGGGCCUUCUUUUUGAUAGCCAGAGCUGUGAAUCUGAAGGCCCCGAAAUAAACCCUCCAACAGAGAUCUGUUAUGCUGACUGCCCAUACUUAGAGCAAUACAGGCCUAAGCCUGAGCAAGACUGAACAACACAGUUCUCUGCCAAACUCGGUCAAGGGUAAUGGCCAGAGGAGGGGGCGGGGGGGUGUGGAAGAAGAAAACCACAGAACAAUGCUAAAGGUUACAACAGAAACUGCUUUAGCAAUAUAAUAACCGCAAGUUUAUGAAACCGCUGGAAAAAUAGAAUAUCCGCUUACAUUAAGAAAUUGCCUUUGCAAAGAGCUAAUCAUUCUUGUAGUUGCAGCUAUCUGCAAAGUUUUCCAAUUCUAGCUAUCUGCAAAAUUAGCCAAUCAUAGAUCUUCUUUUAGCGUCCCUUGAUAAACCCCCCUUAACCCUUCACCGAAAACCCCCGGAAAAUAACAUGUGCCUUGCCGAGAAAUGUACCCAAAGUGCCAAGUACCACCCCUAGGGAAAACCACCAAGCGCCCCUCUACCCAAAUAAACACCCAACUCUUGGGAAAUAAUGAGGAGGGUGGAGGAGGGGCGGGGCUGACCCCAACCCCAAUUUCUUAAUUCAUGACGUAUUGUUUGUACCUUGCUUGCGGUUUGACGAAAUAUAAGCCGUCUGCGUGCAGCCCUCGGUGUGUCAGUCUUCAGACUGCACCCCAGUGCACUGGUAUGUAUGUCAAUAAACUGGCCUCAGGCUUGAGUCUUUGAACUAUAA